GAUGAACGCUGGCGGCGUGCCUAAUACAUGCAAGUCGAGCGAACAGACGAGGAGCUUGCUCCUCUGACGUUAGCGGCGGACGGGUGAGUAACACGUGGAUAACCUACCUAUAAGACUGGGAUAACUUCGGGAAACCGGAGCUAAUACCGGAUAAUAUAUUGAACCGCAUGGUUCAAUAGUGAAAGACGGUUUUGCUGUCACUUAUAGAUGGAUCCGCGCCGCAUUAGCUAGUUGGUAAGGUAACGGCUUACCAAGGCAACGAUGCGUAGCCGACCUGAGAGGGUGAUCGGCCACACUGGAACUGAGACACGGUCCAGACUCCUACGGGAGGCAGCAGUAGGGAAUCUUCCGCAAUGGGCGAAAGCUUGACGGAGCAACGCCGCGUGAGUGAUGAAGGUCUUCGGAUCGUAAAACUCUGUUAUUAGGGAAGAACAAAUGUGUAAGUAGCUAUGCACGUCUUGACGGUACCUAAUCAGAAAGCCACGGCUAACUACGUG
rnacentral:rRNA from 1 species